GAAAAAGCAAGGAGGAAGGGAGUCUGAAGAAUUCUUUCUACACAGAAGAACGGUCAAGGAGCUUAAGUUUAUCUAAGAGAAGUUUACAAGAUGAUCUCCAUCCAUAUCAUUGUGUCUUGAAGAGGCUGGGGCUUUUGAGCAAAGGAGACUUAGACAAAACUCCCAGAGUUGCAUGGAUUACUGUAAGUAGCCCAGGAGAUUGCUUCAAGCCUUCCCAGUGAAAAAAAUCCAUUAUGACAUUUAUUUUACAAGUUGCAUGAGAAUUUAUAUUGCAAAUAAUGAGAGUCUUUUGCUCUUUAAGCUCUGGGCGACUUGGGAAUCUAUAGUGUUAACUGAGCCUUGUGAAACGCAACACUAAACUCUGGUAAGAGGCGGAGAUCGCCUCCAUUAGACCUCAUGUUGAUUAGCAUAUACUGAGAGAAGGGAGCUCCAGGGAAGAUGCUCCUAUAAAACAGACAGAAGAUCUUCUUUUUGGGUGCCUUGAUCUUAAGUGGUAUGACGGAAACUGUCAAAAGCAGGGUCCCUCUGUCUCUUUCAUAACAAAAUGUUUUUUACAAAUUGUUAAUUUAUUUUUUUACUGAAGCUCGUUCCAAGACCUU
rnacentral:lncRNA from 1 species